GAGGGGGUCGCGGCUGAUUAGCUAGUUGGUGGGGUAACGGCCCACCAAGGCAAAGAUCAGUAGCCGGCCUGAGAGGGCGCACGGCCACACUGGAACUGAAACACGGUCCAGACUCCUACGGGAGGCAGCAGUGGGGAAUUUUGCGCAAUGGGGGAAACCCUGACGCAGCAACGCCGCGUGGAGGAUGAAGUCCCUUGGGAUGUAAACUCCUUUCGAUCGGGACGAUAAUGACGGUACCGGAAGAAGAAGCACCGGCUAACUCUGUGCCAGCAGCCGCGGUAAUACAGAGGGUGCAAGCGAUGUUCGGAAUUAUUGGGCGUAAAGGGCGCGUAGGCGGUGCGGUAAGACUGUGGUGAAAUCUCCGGGCUCAACUCGGAAAUUGCCGCGGUGACUGCCGUGCUGGAGUGUGGGAGAGGUGAGUGGAAUUCCCGGUGUAGCGGUGAAAUGCGUAGAUAUCGGGAGG
rnacentral:rRNA from 1 species